AAGAUUUUAAGUUAAGCUAAACUACUGAUUUUCAAAAUCAGCAAUAUUUAAGAUUAAUUACAUCUUA
rnacentral:tRNA from 1 species